CACUAAGAAGCUAUUGUAGCAUUAACCUUUUAAGUUAAAGACUGAGGGUUUAACCCCUCCCUAGUGA
rnacentral:tRNA from 1 species